GUACUGCACUAUCAUGUCUGUUUGUUUUGUUCAAAACAUAGUUGUCCAUUUUAUGGAAUUGCAUAUGGCUAUUUGAUUUUAAACAUAUUUUAUUCAUUAAGAUAUGAAAAGGAUUGAGCAACAGGCACAGCCUAUAAAAGCUCUCUCUGCAUAUGGCUAUCAUACCAUUGAGAGGUUAAGCUAGCUAUAAAACCAGGUUUAUUCCACCAUAUCUACAUAAUAACAUGCCUAAACCGAGUCAAAAAUAUGACAGUUAUGAUCGAUUUGUUUUGGUGUGUUUGAACUCUUGAUUUUGCCAUUCGGUAAGUAUGAUAAGAAAAUUUGUCGGUAUUUUUUUUUUCAUUUUUGUUUUGUAAACGAUGAACACAAUGACAUUUACAAUGAUUAAGCCCAGAAUAUUUUAUUAGUUUUAUUUUUAUGUUGUACGUAAGUUUUAUUUAGGGAAAUCAAGUGUGUAAAAAAUAAAUUUCAAUAUUCAUUGUCAGUUUUACAAAAGUUAACUGUUUCCUUUCACUGACAAUAUCAUUUGGUUAUAACAAUCAGGAAACCUGAUUUGAUUACCAAUUAAACAACUAUCCAUCAAAAUUCAAUUAGAUGUAAGUAAUUAUAAGCAACUGUACGGCCUUCGACAAUGAGAAAUCCCAGAACGUAUAGUUGGCUAUAAAAGGCCCCGACAUGACAAAAAUGAAACAAUUCAAUUAAAGAAACCGACGGUACAAUUCAUAACAAAACAAUUUACGAAAAACAAAAAAGACAGACAUGAAACAACAACAAACACUGAACUACAGGCUCCUGACUUGGGACAGGCAUAUAAAGAGAGUGGCGGGGUUAAUAACGAAACACAUAAACAAACGACAACCACUGAACUACAGGCUCCUGGCUUGGGAUAGGCAAAUAAAGAGUAUUGCGGGGUUAAUAAUGUAACACAUAAACAAACGACAACCACUGAACUUCAGGCUCCUGACUUUGGACAGGCAUAUAAAGAGUGUGGCGGGGUUAAUAAUGUAACACAUAAAAAAACGACAACCACUGAACUACAGUCUCCUGACUUGGGACAGGCAUAUAAAGAGUGUGGCGGAGUUAAUAAUGUAACACAUAAACAAACGAUAACCACUGAACUACAGGCUCCUGUCUUGGGACAGGCAUAUAAAGAAUGUGUUGGGGUUAAUAAUGUUUGUGAGCGCUCAUGCUUCCCCUUAAAUCGGACAGUGUUGUAUUAGUUAUUUCAUUUUCUUCCACUUAUUUUUUAACUCCAUUAUUAUCUAUUUCUAUUGGUUUUAUGUGAACAUGUUUAUAUAUUCAAUAGUGAUUAUAUGUUGUCAGAUAUAAGAUCACCCCA
rnacentral:lncRNA from 1 species